rnacentral:pre_miRNA from 1 species
UUUCUACUCCCUCCGUCUGAAAAUACUUGUCAUCAAAAUGGAUAAAAAGAUAUGUAUCUAAAACUAAAAUACAUCUAGAUACAUUUCCUUUUAUCCAUUUUGAUGACAAGUAUUUCCGGAUGGAGGAAGUAUUUG